UUUUUGUGCGCGUGAGGGAUAGUAGUGGAGCUCUUUUUUUGGGUUGACUUUUUUUGUCAAGCCAAAAAAAAGCGGGAACGGAUAGCCCGACCCGGC
rnacentral:sRNA from 1 species